rnacentral:pre_miRNA from 1 species
GGGGGGAGCACCAGAUCCUGGGCUGUGUCCCCCUGCACCCUGGGAUCCAGGGCCUGCGCUGCUGGAAUCGCGCUCCCAAGGCAGCAGGAUGUGCCCCCU